GACGAACGCUGGCGGCGUGCUUAACACAUGCAAGUCGAACGUGAUUUUUGUGGAAAUUCUUUCGGGAAUGGAAAUGAAAUGAAGGUGGCGAACGGGUGAGUAACACGUGAGCAACCUACCUUACACAGGGGGAUAGCCGUUGGAAACGACGAUUAAUACCGCAUAAGACCACAGAAUCGCAUGAUAUAGGGGUCAAAGAUUUAUCGGUGUAAGAAGGGCUCGCGUCUGAUUAGCUAGUUGGAAGGGUAAAGGCCUACCAAGGCGACGAUCAGUAGCCGGUCUGAGAGGAUGAACGGCCACAUUGGAACUGAGACACGGUCCAAACUCCUACGGGAGGCAGCAGUGGGGAAUAUUGCACAAUGGGGGGAACCCUGAUGCAGCGACGCCGCGUGAGCGAAGAAGGUUUUCGAAUCGUAAAGCUCUGUCCUAUGAGAAGAUAAUGACGGUAUCAUAGGAGGAAGCCCCGGCUAAAUACGUG
rnacentral:rRNA from 1 species